ACAUAUAUCUGUUUCUAUUUUUAGGUUAAUUUUUUUAAUUAGUAUAUCUAAGAAUGGAAGCUCCUUUUGGUUGUACUCCAUUGUGAACUGUAUGUUUGGGCUGACGCUGUUUAAUAGGUUUUUGAAUUCUAGGAAUUCUGUGUUUUCAUUCCAGAGUAUAAAACAGUCGUCUAGGAAUCUUUUUCAAUUCUCUUUUAUGUAUUGGGAAAGCGGGUUUCCAAAGGUCGAUAAAGAGUCCUGGUAUAUUAUUACAUCCAGGUAGCCCAUUGUUAGUUUCGCAAUGACUGGUGCUGCCCUUGUACCCAUAGCAAUUCCGGAUUUUUGACGUCAGAAGAGCGUCGUUU